rnacentral:rRNA from 1 species
UAAGCCAUGCAUGCCUCAGAAUAACUGCAUUGCAGGAAUCUGCGCAUGGCUCAUUAUCUCAGAUAUAAUCUGCCGCAAAAAUCUUGCGGUCUCCGCAAAACUGGAUAACUUGGCGAAAAGUCAAGCUAAUACAUGAACCAAUCGGAUUUCUCCACCGGGGCAACCUUGCGAGAAUUCCAGCGAAUGAGUGAAAUUAAAAUCAACGCCACGUACGUGGCAGCAACACAGCAGUGUUGACUCAAUUCAUUCCGUGCGAAAGCUGGGUAACCAGCGUCUUUUGACGAAUAACUGCUCUAUCAGCUAGUGAUGGCCGUGUAGUGGACUGCCAUGGCGUUGACGGAAGCGGGGGAUUAGGGUUCGAUUCCGGAGAGGGAGCCUGAGAAAUAGCUACCACUUCUACGGAGGUCAGCAGGCGCGCAAAUUGCCCAAUGUCAAAAAAAAAGAUGAGGCAGCGAAAAGAAAUAGGCCUCCCAGACUUCGGUUUGGGAGACAAUGGGGGAUAUUUAAUGCCAUCCAAAAUCGAGUAUCAAUUGGAGGACAAGUCUGGUGCCAGCACCCGCGGUAAUUCCAGCUCCAAAAGCGUAUAUUAACGCUGUUGCUGUUAAAGGGUUCGUAGUUGAAUUGUGGGCUAUGUGAGAGCUUCGAUCAGUCCUUCACGGGCCUCGACUCUUCUAGCUCGUGAACAUUCGAUACAAGUAACACGGGAGUGGUUCCUUCCCAAUUCUCGCAUGUUAUGCAUGCUGGGGGGCGCCCGUGAUUUUUACUGUGACUAAAAAAGUGUGACCAAAGCAGUCAUCCGACCUGAAUUACCAAGCAUGGGAUAACAAAGGAGCAACCUACGGUACUUUACCGUUAUGGCUUUUGUUGGUUUUAAUAGUCUGUGGGACAUUGUAGGAAGGUGUGACAAGUGGCGCUCUUUUGCGCGCCGCCUCCUAGGCAACUAGGCUCACCUUUCUCGGGAUGAAGGAGAGUGGUUCGGGGGAGAACGUACUUGAACGUGAGAGGUGAAAUUCUUAGACCGCUCAAAGACGAACUACAGCGAAGGCAUUCUCCAAGGAUACUUUCCUCAAUCAAGAACCAAAGUGUGGAGAUCGAAGAUGAUUAGAGACCAUUGUAGUCCACACCACAAACGAUGACACCCAUGAAUUGGGGUUUUUUUGGUGGAGGCGGGUGGGGUUUACCUCAUUCGUCUUCCCAAAUUUUUAAAUUUACGUGCAUUUUCAACUAGCCUUCACAGGCUUUAACGGGAAUAUCCUCAGCACGUUUUUUAUUUCUUCCACGCGAAAGCUUGAGGUUAUAGUCUCAGGGGGGAGUACGUUCGC